rnacentral:rRNA from 1 species
UACACUCCUGCGGGAGGCAGCAGUGGGGAAUAUUGGACAAUGGGCGCAAGCCUGUUCCAGCCAUGCCGCGUGAGUGAUGAAGGCCCUAGGGUUGUAAAGCUCUUUCACCGGUGAAGAUAAUGACGGUAACCGGAGAAGAAGCCCCGACUAACUUCGUGCCAGCAGCCGCGGUAAUACGAAGGGGGCUAGCGUUGUUCGGAUUUACUGGGCGUAAAGCGCACGUAGGCGGACUAUUAAGUCAGGGGUGAAAUCCCGGGGCUCAACCCCGGAACUGCCUUUGAUACUGGUAGUCUUGAGUUCGAGAGAGGUGAGUGGAAUUCCGAGUGUAGAGGUGAAAUUCGUAGAUAUUCGGAGGAACACCAGUGGCGAAGGCGGCUCACUGGCUCGAUACUGACGCUGAGGUGCGAAAGCGUGGGGAGCAAACAGGAUUAGAAACCCCGGUAGUCCCAUG